rnacentral:lncRNA from 1 species
UAACAUCCCAAAGCAUCAUCACGAAAAAAUUCAGCUCAUUUCAAGUUCAUAUGGCAUGGCAAAAAAAUCAGGAAGUUAGACAAGAAAUGGUGUGACACAAAUUGUCACACCUAGAUUCAACAGCUCAUAUCUCAUCAACCAGGAAAGCAAAAAUCACAAACUCUAUACCAAAAUGUUCAUCAAAGUGUCUAGAUUACACAUGUAAAAUUUCAAGAAUUUUGGAUUAAGCAUCAUCAUUUCAUGAUCAAAACAUCAAGCAAG